AUUGAACGCUGGCGGCAGGCCUAACACAUGCAAGUCGAGCGGAUGAAGGGAGCUUGCUCCUGGAUUCAGCGGCGGACGGGUGAGUAAUGCCUAGGAAUCUGCCUGGUAGUGGGGAUAACGUCCGGAAACGGGCGCUAAUACCGCAUACGUCCUGAGGGAGAAAGUGGGGGAUCUUCGGACCUCACGCUAUCAGAUGAGCCUAGGUCGGAUUAGCUAGUUGGUGGGGUAAAGGCCUACCAAGGCGACGAUCCGUAACUGGUCUGAGAGGAUGAUCAGUCACACUGGAACUGAGACACGGUCCAGACUCCUACAGGAGGCAGCAGUGGGGAAUAUUGGACAAUGGGCGAAAGCCUGAUCCAGCCAUGCCGCGUGUGUGAAGAAGGUCUUCGGAUUGUAAAGCACUUUAAGUUGGGAGGAAGGGCAGUAAGUUAAUACCUUGCUGUUUUGACGUUACCAACAGAAUAAGCACCGGCUAACUUCGUG
rnacentral:rRNA from 1 species